UUGCAGAGAGAACACAAGAGCAGUGGUCGUUUGCAUACUUUCUUCUCAAUGCAAAAAUCCAAUCUCAUUGUAUUUUUGUUUUCACAUCAGGAAAGUCCUUUGGACCAUCAACGCAUUCCAGUCGGUUGAAAAAGAAAAACAUAAAUAUAUAUAUAUAUAUAUAAAGAUCCUCACUCAUAUCAGAAGAAUUCAAAAACCUGCAAACAAAACUCUACAUUUCCAAGAGAAAUCAUUUCUAUAUACUCAAGGUUCAUUCAAUAUAUUCAAACUUUCAUCUAAAUAUUUUAACUUUCACUUAGUAUAUUCGGCGCUUAUUCGACAUAUUCAAACUUGCCUUCCAUAUGUUAUUUUUUUCACUCAGGAUAUUCAAGGUCCAUUCAGCAUAUUCAAAUACAUGCAUUCAUAUAGAUAUAUGUAUGUCAGUCAUUCUUGAUGGCAGAAGAGGCAUCGGUACAGUAAUGCACAUUUAUCUCUACAGUCCUAAUAAUUGGUGUGACUGAAUUAAAUGUGUUUAUUCAAAGCUUUUGUUGGACAUUUUUAGCCGUGUUUUGCUUUGUGUUUUGUCUGUUUGACAUGACGUUUCACUGUGAGAGUGAUGAUUGCACUUUGGAAAGGUCGUCCACCCGUCGAUCAAAUGCAUCAACAAAGCAAAGACCCUCAGCACAACCGUCAUGAGGCUCAUCAUGAGGGAGGGCAGCGUAAAUUAUGCAUCUAGAUGUCAUCUGAAGAAAGAGGUGGGGAAAAAGAAAAGGACACGAAAAAGUAAAAAAAAAUAAAAUAAAUAAAAUAAAAAGCAUUAUCAAUGGCAUCCCGUAGAGAGCAGAUUGCAGCAAGUCUUGCUUUUGAUGACACCCUUCAGACAGCAUCUAUUUUUUUUUUCUUCCAUGAAACGCAAUCAACAAUGCAUAACGUGGAAUUGCAUUCUUUCAACAAAAUUGAACAGCUCAGCACAGAUGCCCAUAUAAAUUACAUACACAGAUGAAUCCGGACUGACAUCGCAUUGGCUUGCUCUCUCCGAAGGUCACUAUUAUGAAGCAACGGCCCCUUCAUCUUACCUUGAUUACACAACGCCGCAAAAACAUUAAGCGUCAAAACCACAUCUUCAUCUUUCCAGUUUUCAAUUGCUGUUCCCUCGCAGCUACUUCUUUGAUUCGAACGUAGGAGUGUCGAGAAAUUUCACUCAGUCUCCGCAUCUUUCUAGGGCCCUAAGAAAUAUUUCCGCUAACCUACCGUCAUCGAGUGUGAAGAGAUUUACUGAGUCUAAUUUGUUUGUCAUUUUCUAUGGCUACUCGGACCUUAUGGAUAGACUAACGUGUGUUUUGCGUAAUGGUGACAACGCAAUACGGAAAUCUUAAGUUUGUAGUAAACAUUUUUUUACAGUCCACUUAUUUUUGGUGAUCAGUGGGUUUGAAUCUGAGCUCAAUAUCUGAAUCUUAUUAUCUACAGACUUAAGAAUUAUUUCAAAUAUAAAAGUAUCUUCUCAACUUUGUGUAAUCUAAUGUAGGCACUGUGUGCUAAUAAAAGUUUUUUAUUUGUGGUUUCUGUUCAGAAAAAUAUAGCAAAUCCACUCAGAUUAGAUCCACUCCACCCCCACCAAGCCUUUCUGACGAGAAUCAUAUUUUUGCAUUGAAUUAAUCACUUUAGAAAGAAAAUAAAUAGCUUUAUGUUUUUAAUGUCUUCAUGUUAUGAGUCUGAUAUGUGUCUCUUAGAUCAGGUACCGCUCUCCUGGUAUCCCAGCCCUGUUUCCUGUCUGGGUUUUUAUUUUGGUGUGACACCCCAACAUCAUCACCGGCCCCCGUUUAAGCCCAGGUCAAAUACUUCCUGGAUACACCCCUGCUCGGCAGUCUCAAGGAGGCACUUUUAUGCUUAUACAAAAAUGUAUAUUCCAGCGUUAAUGCCUUUAAAUAUUCUAAAUAUGAUGCUCUAAAUUCAAACUUACUGAAGGAUAACAGUGUGGUUGGUUGAGGAAGUAUAGCAACAUACAGCUGACUACAGUAAUCAGAAGAACUGCAGCCAGGAUAUCGCAAAGAUCUUUCUGGCGAGACGUCGGCUAUUAAUAUAAGACAUUGUGGUUAUUCAGUGAGAAGAAAUAGCAUUUUUGCAGAUGAAGAGUAGACCAGUACUACACCAGUAGUUGGGAAUAUUGCCACUAUUCCUUCAUGUUCUCACAAACAGCAGCAUGCGGUUUUGCCUAUUUGUAGCGAAAAAUAAAGCAAUGAACCAAGCAAAGAAAAAAGUUAUUUAUGGUUGGUAAUGAAACCUCCGCACCUUUCAGCGCUUUAAACCUACAGCAUUUUCCAUGUAUGACAAGAAUGAGCGCUUUCACCAUCAGGCUUAAGAUUAGGGCUGAAACGAUUCAUCGAGUAACUCGAGUAACUCGAUUACAAAAAAUCCUCGAGGAAAUUUAUCUGCCUCGAAGCUUCGCUAAAUUUAUUGUAUUGUAAUAAGCAAUGCUGUUAAAUACGCAGCACACUGGUCUAGCCGGAGGGUUUUUGUGUUGCACAACGCUACCACUUCCGUUAGCGCCUGGAGCACAUGUGCUAAGUUUGUAGCUAUGGAGGGAACCGGAGAAUGCUCAGAAGGAGAACCCCGAAAGCGACAAAAAAUGUCAAAAGUUUGGGAACAUUUUAGGCUAAACAGAAAGGACAACACAGCGCAAUGCAUCCACUGCAAAGCAGAAUUGGCGUACCACAACAGCACGACAUCAAUGUUGCAGCAUCUGAAGAGAAAACACCCGCUACAUGCAUCCAACUCGUACACGGUUGCCAACAGUGAACCGAAGAGUCAUACGUUGGACAGCUUUGUUCAAAGGGUUCCAGGAUGUUCGGUUGUUCAAGCAGCUGAGUUCACAAACAGCAUUUUAAAUAUGAUCAUCACAGACAUGCGACCGCUGUAUUCUCUGGUUUGCCUUAACUUUUCUAUUUAAAGCUAAUGAAUAUUUUUUUACUCUUUUGUGUUAGCACUGAAAAAAGCAAGGAAUUUGUUGCACCUUAGACUUAAAAUAUAUUGUAUAAAAUGCAGUAUUUACUAUUUUGUCUAAACUUGUUUUA